UACGGAGGGUGCAAGCGUUAUCCGGAUUCACUGGGUUUAAAGGGUGCGUAGGAGGGCAGGUAAGUCAGUGGUGAAAUCUUCGAGCUUAACUCGGAAACUGCCGUUGAUACUAUCUGUCUUGAAUACCGUGGAGGUGAGCGGAAUAUGUCAUGUAGCGGUGAAAUGCUUAGAUAUGACAUAGAACACCAAUUGCGAAGGCAGCUGGCUACACAAAUAUUGACACUGAGGCACGAAAGCGUGGGGAUCAAACAGG
rnacentral:rRNA from 1 species